GAAAAGGCGUCCGGGUGGAUGUCGGAGAGCCCCGGGUUGUCCGUCAUCCUCAGCAUCACCAGGCUGGCCAGGGGCCCGAACGUCCGGUCCUCGAUCCGGCGCAAGGUGUUGAAGGAGAGGUCCAGGUGUUGAAGUGCUGAAUCAGACCCAGCAGGAUGGAGGAGGAGCAGCAGCAGCAGGAGGAGGAAGACAGAUGUUGCUGCUGAUGAGUCGUAUUAAACAAAAUACCCCAUAAUGGCAACCAACAGUCCCUUUCUCCCCCCAUUCUGCUCCCCCCCCCCCCACACACACACACACACACACUGACCACACUCUCUCUCCAUAUUUGUCUUCCACCCUCAGAGAUCCACUAAAAGAAAAUCUGUUGGGUUUUCUGUCUAUUCACCGCCUCUGUCAGGUUGCUCUCCAUGUGGACUGAAGUAAUCCUCACAGCUGUUUAAGCCCUUAUAAACUGGCUCUCGGAGGACAUCUAGUGUCUGCACCAAGGAACUGCGUUUUAGGAUCGAUACUUGACGGAUGUUUUCACGCUCAGCUUUGCUGCUGUUUUGAAGUGGAAGAAAAAGCGGAACCAGCGGACGUUUCACGUGCUCUUAAACGUUUACCCAUAAAAAAAAAAAGAUCAAGAAUAAUCAAAAUAUUGUCUAAAAAUAGGUUAAAAAGUUAAUUGUACUUACUUCAAGCGGCAGCGUUUGAGGUCAAAUGGCGGGUUUUCUUGAGGCCUCCACUAGAAUCCAUUAUGCACCGACUGAUGGCCAAGCAGUGCGCAACGUUGGACUUUAUGGAAAGGUGACAAAAAUACAGGCGCUGCUGAAAUGCAGACAUAAAAAGUUUUGUUUGCUUCACAGUAGAGACCUUAAAGAAGACAUCUGCUCGGAAGGAACAAGGCUUUUAACUUUUUAGCCAGCUGUGUGUAGCAGGAUGAAGCCUGCCCUGCAGGAUCGACGACACCUGGCACCCAAUUAACUCCUCACAAGGUGUUGAGGAUAAAAUGAGACUCCUUCACCUGUUUUCUUCCUGCCUGGACAUGAAGAAAACAAUCCACCGACCUUCAGCUUGGUUGGGUUCCGGUGGUCACAUCUCUGACGUCAGUAAGCAAAUGAAGCCUCAUGAAGCCAUGAAGCUUUCCGAGCCUUUGCUUGGCAAAAAAGGUUCAUUACUCAACGCUUCAUUCAUCGCUUGCUGGUGAAACUGUAACCGCCUUGUCUCUCAGCUGGAUCACACUCCCAAGAAUUAGUAAAUGCAAUGUUGUCGCAAAGUUUUCAUCAAACUCAAGUUCAGUAACAGGAGAAUCGAUCAUUUAAUUGCCAUAUAUUUGAAUUGUUAAAAUGAUUUGUAGCCAAUCUAAUCCUGGUGUAUGUUGAACGUGAGUGGUUGUGUUGGGUUUUCUUUUACUGAUUUGACAAUAAAGACAUUUGAUGCUUCAA